rnacentral:rRNA from 1 species
GAUGAACGCUGGCGGCGUGCCUAAUACAUGCAAGUCGAGCGAACGGACGAGGAUUUUUCUUUUCUUAUGUUAGCGGCGGAUGGGUGAGGAACACGUGGAUGACUGAUCGUGAGGACUGGGGUAAGGUCGCGAGAGCUGAUCUAAUAUCCGAUAAUAGGGUGAACGUGAGGGUUCUACAGUGCUAGACGGACUUGCUGUCACUUAGACAUGGUUCCGCGCUGGAUUAGCUAGUUGGUAAGGUAACGGCUUACCAAGGCAACGAUGCAUAGCCGACCUGAGAGGGUGAUCGGCCACACUGGAACUGAGACACGGUCCAGACUCCUACGGGAGGCAGCAGUAGGGAAUAUUCCGCAAUGGGCGAAAGCCUGAGCGAGCCACGCCGCGUGAGUGAUGAAGGUCUUCGGAUCGUAAAGCUCUGUUAUUUGGGAAGAAGAUAAGUAUAAGUAAAUGUGCACAUCUUGACGGUACCUAAAGAGAAAGCAACGGCUAACUACGUG